UACGGAGGGUGCGAGCGUUGUCCGGAAUCACUGGGCGUAAAGGGCGCGUAGGUGGCGCGGGCAGUCAACGGUGAAAGUUCGGGGCUCAACCCUGAAUCGGCCGUCGAUACUCCCGGGCUUGAGCACUGUAGAGGCAGAUGGAAUUCCGGGUGUAGCGGUGGAAUGCGUAGAGAUCCGGAAGAACACCGGUGGCGAAGGCGGUCUGCUGGGCAGUAGCUGACACUGAGGCGCGACAGCGUGGGAGCAACAGG
rnacentral:rRNA from 1 species